rnacentral:tRNA from 1 species
AGUAUUGCGCCGGGCAUGAACGGAUAGCUCUGAUGCUGCUAAUCACGGGACCUUAAAAUCCCCAAUACUU